rnacentral:rRNA from 1 species
AGAGUUGAUCAUGGCUCAGGAUGAACGCUAGCUACAGGCUUAACACAUGCAAGUCGAGGGGCAGCAGGACGAUAGCUUGCUAUGUUGCUGGCGACCGGCGCACGGGUGAGUAACGCGUAUCCAACUUCCCCUUAGUAGGGCAUAGCCCGUAGAAAUGCGGAUUAAUACCCUAUGUUGUUCGAUGCGGACAUCUAAGUUGAACCAAAGGUUUACCGCUAAGGGAUGGGGAUGCGUCUGAUUAGGCAGCAGGCGGGGUAACGGCCCACCUGGCCUACGAUCAGUAGGGGUUCUGAGAGGAAGGUCCCCCACAUUGGAACUGAGACACGGUCCAAACUCCUACGGGAGGCAGCAGUGAGGAAUAUUGGUCAAUGGGCGCGAGCCUGAACCAGCCAAGUAGCGUGCAGGAUGACGGCCCUAUGGGUUGUAAACUGCUUUUAUGCGGGGAUAAAGUGAGGGACGUGUCCCUUAUUGUAGGUACCGCAUGAAUAAGGACCGGCUAAUUCCGUGCCAGCCGCGGC